CCUACGGGUGGCAGCAGUGGGGGAUAUUGGACAAUGGGCGCAACCCUGACCCAGCAACGCCGCGUGAAGGAAGAAGGCUUUCGGUUUGUAAACUUCUUUUGUCAGGGACGAAACAAGUGACGGUACCUGACGAAUAAGCCACGGCUAACUACGUGCCAGCAGCCGCGGUAAUACGUAGGUGGCAAGCGUUAUCCGGAUUUAUUGGGUGUAAAGGGAGUGUAGGCGGCAGUGCAAGUCAGAUGUGAAAGCUGUGGGCUCAACCCCUAGACUGCACUUGAAACUGUAUGGCUUGAGUGCUGGAGAGGCAAUCGGAAUUCCGUGUGUAGCGGUGAAAUGCGUAGAUAUAAGGAGGAACACCAGUGGCGAAGGCGGAUUGCUGGACUGUAACUGACGCUGAGGCGCGAAAGCGUGGGGAGCAAACAGGAUUAGAUACCCGUGUAGUC
rnacentral:rRNA from 1 species